rnacentral:rRNA from 1 species
AGGCAGCAGUGGGGAAUAUUGCACAAUGGGCGCAAGCCUGAUCCAGCAAUGCCGCGUGGAUGAAGAAGGUCUUCGGAUUGUAAAGUCCUUUCGACGGGGACGAUGAUGACGGUACCCGUAGAAGAAGCCCCGGCUAACUUCGUGCCAGCAGCCGCGGUAAUACGAAGGGGGCUAGCGUUGCUCGGAAUGACUGGGCGUAAAGGGCGCGUAGGCGGUUUGGUUAGUUAGGCGUGAAAUUCCUGGGCUCAACCUGGGGACUGCGCUUAAUACAGCCAGACUAGAGUGUGGAAGAGGGUCGUGGAAUUCCCAGUGUAGAGGUGAAAUUCGUAGAUAUUGGGAAGAACACCGGUGGCGAAGGCGGCGACCUGGUCCAUUACUGACGCUGAGGCGCGAAAGCGUGGGGAGCAAACAGGAUUAGAUACCCUGGUAG